rnacentral:sRNA from 1 species
AUUGCUGGAUCUGAAACAAUAGCAUGGACUUUAGA